UCCCCGGUGGCUCAGAUGGUAAAGCAUCUGCCUACGAUGCGGGAGACCCAGGUUCGAUCCCUGGGUUGGGAU
rfam:Ovis aries breed Texel unplaced genomic scaffold TnplacedScaffold_004081120.1, whole genome shotgun sequence.